rnacentral:lncRNA from 1 species
CAAAUAGCGAAUUCCCAUAUAUCAUCGGUCUUUAACUCAAAUUCUUUCAUAUUUUCUUUCACAAUUGGAUCCCCACUGUUAUGAUUAUAAAGAUAAUCUAGAGGUGGGAUUUGUUGAAUAGGAGCUGGACAGUAAAUUUUAAUGUCAACAGAUUGUUCUCUGGAUUCCGAAUCGGAAGUAAAGAUGGAGAAGAAGAAAAAGAGAAAACAACAGAGGGCUCUUCUAAAACGAGCAUGACCAGUUCUGGUUUGACCCAGAAGAGAAAUAGCUUUCUUUAAUUUGUUUACUGCCACGUCCGUCACAGCCACAUAAUCUGUCUAUGUUUCGAUGCCUACUUUUUCUUCAGAUAAGUGAUUCUGCUUAUUUGGAGAUGAAAAUAAUCUAAUAAGCUUCUCAACCCUCUGAAAGCCGAAUGCAGAUUUUUUCACCUCUUUUUGUUCUGAUCGUGAAACGAUGUUUCUCUGAUUCAUUAUGAGCUCCACAGCCAUAGCUAACUGGAGAAUAAAGUGCAGGGAAAGUGUUUGAUAAAUGGUCAAAAUGAUGCCAUAGUCGAGAAUAAUGACCACGUUUUCCCCGGAUUAUAUGUUAAUAAAGAUAUUUAAGCUUCUCCAUUAGAAUUCUCAAGUUAAUAUUCAUAUGCACAAGCUUAUUUUUAUUAUGAGUUUCUAAUUUUUUGAGCCCUUACAGGCAUUUAAUAAAAUUCAGAAGCUACCCAAUAAAACUUAUGGGAAGGUUGUUGGCGACCGACAACUGCUCCCUUUGUUGUGCGUGAAAACACUGACUUUGAGGAUGCUGUGAGAUAUUGACUUCUUUUCUUUGAUUAUAUUUUACUUGACAUAAAUUUGACCUAAGUUUUCUGCUUGGUGAUGUAAUUGGGAUUCUUUCUUUGCCUUGAUCCUGCAACUUCACCAAAUGUAUAAUGUGAAAACUGGGUUUUGGAUCUGAAAUAGAUUGAAAUAAGAUUUUAAGGAAAAUAAGCUUAAUCAUCCUCAAUUAUCAUUGAAAAUUGAAGUGGAUAUCUGUAAUAAUGAAUAAUGGUGUGUGAUGAAUUUGUAAAAGUAGAUAGGUUCUUCAUGAAGGAAUUUUUUUAAGUAUUCCCUCUUAAUCAUUUUCUAGGAUAAUAAGCAGAUUAUGACUGACAAGAGAAGAUAAAAACAAAAGCCAUUUAGGCACAUGGUUAAAGAAUUUUGACUGGGAUGUAACAUUUGAUUAAAUUCCAACACCAGUAAUUUAUGGGUACAAGCUUGUAAAACCUUCAUCUUCUAUGGCUUUCAUUAUGUCUAAAUUGUAUUGGCUUUGCAUUGGACCUUAUGUUUGUGCAGAAUGGAACUUUGGGUAGUUAAAUUUCUGAAAAAAAAGUGCUUAGAUUUGUUCCAUUAUUUACUUUUAAUUUCUUAUUCAAUGUUUAAUUACUUGGAUUCCAGUAAGUGUCCAGUUUGGUUGAAGUAUGUCCAAGUAUUAGCUUUAGAAAUGAUAAUGAACCUUUCAACGUCCUUUUCUUUGUUUUUGUUAACACAUUCUGAUAAUUUGUGAAAUUCCUCUUAAAAAGUCAAAUUUGAAGCCCGUUUCAGUAAAUGACUUAGAAAUUGGAUGGUUUAAUUUGUUUUUGGUGCGAUAUUUGUAGAAAGCAAUGUAGAGUUUUACCCAAAAAAUGGAGGAAAGAUUUUUUCAGUCUCAAGGUCGUCCUAUUAUCUCAGGCAUUUUUUUCCCUUUAUACUUGCUUAUACUUGGUUCGUAUCUCUAAUCAGGAUAAUAUUUUGGGGUUCCAUAUUUGCCAUAUUUUUAAUGAGAACAAAUGGAAAUUCUGUAUCUUUAACAGAGUUGAUCAAUGUUUUGUUAAACUUGUUGGGAAUCUACUUAUACAUGCACAGCGGAAUUUAAAAUAUAUUUCGAUUCCCAUCCAAUAGAUCUCAUUGUGUUUGGUUAAGAAUUGUGAUAAGAAUGUACCUUUUCCAGAUCUGCAAUCCUUUUGCUUUUCUUUUCGUUCCACAACUUUGAUUCGCCACCACAGCUGUCCAAUUGUCCAGCCUCCAACGGUGAUCCACACAGAGAAUUUGAUUGCAGCCUCUAGGGUUUUCUCUUGUGCUAGCAAGAAUAAUGAAAACCUUAAUGGAC